rnacentral:lncRNA from 1 species
UACCAUUUACAGUCCUAUAUGACGUUAUUUACCCUACUAAAUACUUCCUCCAUUGUUAAUUGACCUUGAACCUAUUACUCACCCUCACACCGGAGAAGUUCUGAAAUGGCCCCAGCCGACAGGACUUUUGUGCAGGUACAAGUCCGGCGAGUUGGUUGAACGCGCGGACGGAAUCGAUCGUUAACAACUAUAUAUAUCAAUACUGUAGAAAAAUAU